rnacentral:misc_RNA from 1 species
AAGAGCUAGGUCCUUGGAAUUGCAAUAGUAGUAAUUUGACGUUUCGAUGGUAGGUCGGGGGAAACAAUUAGAGUUUUGCAUCACGUUUUCUGGAACGUAUCCGUUUUCGUAACGUAUCGAUCGAAAGACAACCAUCCUUUAAAUGUACGAAUACCCUGGGACUAAGGGAAAACAGUGGAUACUAACUUUUAAACAGCACAAAACAGAACGUCCGAAACGCACAAGGUGAUAACAAACAAAAAAUCACAAGCGACAGAAACAAAAACGCAUAAGGAAUAACAAACAAAAAUGCAAAAUGGGACAACUGCAACAAUAAGAACACAUCAGCAAUAAAAGGGACAAAAGACUGAUUCUAUAGAGCGCAGGUGACAUCAUAAUGACGAUGACAAUGUCGCGUCCACGUUUACGUCAUGCUCCUGAACUUCAAGAACAAAAUGGGACUGUAUAUAAGGAGGAAUCUGCGGUAAUACAUAUUAAAAGGAGAAGUGCUCCAAAUAUCAGGUACAACGGUGUGCCAGUCUUGGAGGAAAACUCGACAGUAUCGUGCGACCGUUGCAUAUCCAGAUCGUCCUCCGUUCCAAAUCAGAAAAAUCAAAAUGGAGAUAGACUAUUAAAGCAUAGACCAAAAACUAGAAAUAAUAGUUUAAGUUCUUCAAAAUUAUUAUCCUCAAGUCCAAAUUCUGGAACUUCAAGUUAUAAGUUACCCACAAAGGAAGGAUUUGACCUAAGUGCCUACAGUAACAGGUAUAAACGAUACAUAAAGGCGGAGGACAUCAAAGUAACCGGAAGUGACGUCAGGACUCUUCAUAAAAGUAAAAGUGCUGAUUCACGGUUGAUAGGUUCAGCGAUAGAACUACCACCUAGUGGCAAACAAAAAACCAAAAUCAAUCAAAGUACUAUAAACUUGGCAAAGGCUUUAAAAAGAAAUGACGAUGCGCAACUACUAGCGCAUGGUUUAGACGCGCUUAAUCUCCAAACGUCUGAAGAUACGUGGAAGAAAGAAAUCGAGGAUAAAUGUUUCAAAUGGAUGGAAGACCUUCCAGAAAGGUUCUCUGCAAUGGACAGUCUGUUACCAUCGCUCCCUUCAGAAUCUAAAAAUACAAAUGACACAUAGUUUAAUAUAAAAGAUACAAUGUAUAGUGAAUGAUCAAAUAAAAAUAAUCUAGUCAAAGCCUUAUCUAAAAUAAAAUAAA